CCUACGGGGGGCAGCAGUGGGGAAUAUUGGACAAUGGGCGAAAGCCUGAUCCAGCCAUGCCGCGUGUGUGAAGAAGGCCUUCGGGUUGUAAAGCACUUUCAGUGGGGAAGAAAGCCUUGGGGCUAAUACCCUCGAGGAAGGACAUCACCCACAGAAGAAGCACCGGCUAACUCCGUGCCAGCAGCCGCGGUAAUACGGAGGGUGCGAGCGUUAAUCGGAAUUACUGGGCGUAAAGCGCGCGUAGGCGGUCUGAUAAGCCGGUUGUGAAAGCCCCGGGCUCAACCUGGGAACGGCAUCCGGAACGGUCAGGCUAGAGUGCAGGAGAGGAAGGUAGAAUUCCCGGUGUAGCGGUGAAAUGCGUAGAGAUCGGGAGGAAUACCAGUGGCGAAGGCGGCCUUCUGGACUGACACUGACGCUGAGGUGCGAAAGCGUGGGUAGCAAACAGGAUUAGAUACCCGGGUAGUC
rnacentral:rRNA from 1 species